UGCGCAAGUCAUUGGGACAUAAAGCGAAACCUAAAGGCGAAAUGAAAGUGAAUAUGUGUGUGCGGGCGCGCGCGCGCCCGUGUGCGUGCGAGCGUUUCCACUUGUGGUUGCGUCUCGUGCGCGCUGUGUGCGCUGCGCGCUUGUACAUAGAGGGAGGAUGGGCAGGCCCAAGCAGGUCGGCUCCGCACUCCCUGGGCGUCUCGUGUUCAUUACGAACUGAGGCGCACCUAGAGCGUACACGCUGGGACCCGAAAGAUGGUGAACUAUGCCUGGUCAGGACGAAGUCAGGGGAAACCCUGAUGGAGGUCCGUAGCGAUUCUGACGUGCAAAUCGAUCGUCGGAACUGGGUAUAGGGGCGAAAGACUAAUCGAACCAUCUAGUAGCUCGUUC
rnacentral:rRNA from 1 species